AACACGUAUAUUUUUAAAUUUAUAAUGCUAAGCGGUAAAAAAUGCCAGACUUUUUCUUCAUAUUUUAAUUCAUUACAGGUGCCUUUGAAAGGAAGAUACGGGAUAUAACGCCUUUAUCUUAUCUAGGUGGAAGGAUAGAGAGAUAUCAAGACAACUUAUAUGUCUUUUUCAUUCGCUAAAGUACAUCGAUACGGGAGAAUGGUGGAUUGAGUGGUUUCACCCACAGUUUCGCAGUGGAAGUUUUGGCAAGUGUUCGCGCGCACAUUACGGCAUUAGGCGGUAACGCUACGGUAGCGUUCUUUAUGACGCAGUGUGUGCUUCUUCACAGCCCUCACAAAAAUCAAGGUCAAUGUCUCAUUAAUGUGGCGAUGUCGUAACAGUGUCUUAUUAUGCGGAUGAGAAGCACAGUGCUGUUUCAAAUUGCUGACGCCAACCUCCACAUUCGGCACCGCCAUGAACGACUAUUUAAUAAUGGCAAUUAAUGCUGUUAAA